CACUUUCUCCAAAAGUUGGAAAAUAAUAUAGCAUAUUAUCUUUGUCCACUUCUAAUAUAUAAUAAUAUACAUGUGAAUAAUUUGCAUAAAUUAACCCUUAAACAGUAUCUCUUAAAUUGAUCAAGAUAGAGGGAUCAAACCAACCUAGUUUCACAUUGUUAGACUAUCCCAACUUCAAAAAGCGAUUGUAUUUUUAUUUUUGCCACACCAUGUAAGUGGAGCCGGCCAAGAAGAAUGAAACUGACUGACUGACUAUGUUAUAGUAAGCCUAAAAUAAAACUUUAUAAUGCAAACAUUACUGGUGGAUUUGCAAAGUAUGCAUCUGUGCAUGAUUUUUGUGGUAAUAUAGGCUAGAUCAAAACCCCUUGGGCAGUAAAAGAGUAGGAGUUUCCACGAUUCUCUCGUCUUUCACUUGACGAAAAAUCUGUUAUCGUCACCUAUAUUGAUAGUUAUUGUAUCGAUGUCAUUCACGAAUAAAACGCUUUUGCGCCAUGAUAUAGCUUUGGCUGUGUUAAGUUCAAGUAGUAAGUAAGAUACUAGUAUGCCUAUUACUGGAUAAUAAGCUUUAAAAAAGGCCUGUGGCAAAAGCCAUACAUUUCAUAGAUACUAUUUGUGGUGGAGGUAAACUUAACAAAAAACUAAAUAUUCACACUUGGCGUGAUGUUAAUGCAUAAAAUUAUCUAAUGUCAAGAUGCUACCACCCCUUUACUAACACACAGCACCGUGGUGUAGCAGUUAAAGACACAACCACUCACAUGGCAGACUUGGGUUUGAAUCCAGUGAGGGUUACAAUGUUAAUCACUUAUAAUUGCAGGCCGGCUGAACUAGGCUUGCCUGGUUCCUUUUUUUGGUUUAACAGUUAAAACAUGCCCCAGCAACUUUACUUGCAAUUAAAAUAUAUUUUACAUUAAUCAUUACAAAUUUAAAGAAGCUUUAAUUAAAGUUGAAAUACAGACCGCAAAUUUAAUUAAACCGGUGUGCUGAUCUGGAAGUCACAUCCCACAAGUUUACUGUAGACAGAAUGGACUUGAAGAUCUAAUAACUUCUUAAUAAUAAAACAUCUAGAAGAUAAGGCUAACUAAUGAACAAUGUAGCUAAAAUGUUCACCAAGUUACGUAGCACAACUGCAUUGGAAACUUGCAGUCACGCCCAGUUAAAUGACAUUUGUUAGAGUUCCACCACACAAAAACAGAAAAGUGAUGAUUAUAUUUCAGAGGGUAUUGUGGUAAAAUUUUAUUUAAGAUUGAGAGCUUGACAACUAGCUUUUUACGGUCACAUCUUCAAGCUCAGUAUCCUGUGUCCCCCUGAUGAUUUCCACUUGUUUAUUUUGCUCCGGGUGUUGUGUAAUCCUUUCAUUUUAGGAUUAUAACAUAGCUAAUGAAGGUUUUAGCCAGCAAAGUUUUUGUUUUUUGUCAUUUGUUUCUCUUUCAUGAAUGACAUUGAUACAAUAACUGACUCUCGUCAAGUGAAGACAAGAGAAUCGUGGAAACCCCAACUCUUUUACUGCCCAAGGGGUUUUGAUAAAGCCUAUAUUAUUACCCAUAAAAGCAUGCACAGAUGCGUACCUUUGAAAAUCCACCAGAAACAGUCACAAUAUAACCGUAAACAGUUUUAGUUUAGGCUUACAAUAAUGUAGCUAAUGAAUGUUGCAUGUAGCCAGCUACAUUUGUCUGUCCAGACCCAAAAAGCAUGCUUGGAUGUGUACUUUGAAAAUCCCCAAGAAAUAGUCACAAUACUGUAUAACAAUAAACAGUUUUUGUUUAGGCUUACUAUAACUUAGAUCCUGAAUGUAGUAGCCAGCUAAGUUUGUCUGUCCUGACACAAAAAGCAUUCACGGUUGUGUACUUUGAAAAUCUACCAGAAACAGUUGCAAUAUAUGUAAUGCUUCUAGUUGGUGUCGUGUUGGCAAGGAACCAGGCGCAGGCAUAUAUCACAUUCAUGGGUUUAAUAACCAUACAAACAAACUGAACACGAACGGAAAACUCUACAAACGACUGAAUUAAAUAAAAGUGCACAACAUGAGUCUUAACAGGCAAUUUUCAGACAGUACAAACACGCAACACACACCAAUAAACGAACAGACAGCAACAACGAUCCACAAUGUGGGGAGCAGAGGGGAAACAUUUAAACACAUACAAACGAUACAAAUUGGGACCUGGUGUGAAAGAUUGGAGACAUGGGACAGUCCGGGAUGUGUUCGUGUGAUAUGGGAACUUGAGAAUAUAUGGCACGGUGGCGCUGCUGUUCAACGCACCAUGACAAUAUAACCAUAAAUAGUGCAGAUAGUCAGCAAAGUUUCUGUCUAUCCGGAACAAAUCUAAAUGCAUACUUUGUUUUGACUGUGAGGAGAUUCGAUUAUGGGAUCUAUAGCUUGCAGGUCUACUUCUCAAACCACUACGCUAUUUAACAUGAUUGGUAAGGAUUAGACAUUCACUCUUCUAGGCCGGCUCUGCUUACGCGGUCCGGCAAAAAUAAAAUAAAUAUAGGAAUCACAUUAAAGCAAUGUAGAAAUAUAAAUGUGAUGUACAUAACAAUGAUAUGGACAUGAAACAUGUUUAUUUCUGCACUACAGGUAAGCUAUACAUUCAUACGGCUACUGUAUCUCUGUCUAGUGCCACUAUCCCAGGACACGUAGAAUGGGAUUUCAAAACCAAACAUUGUGUAAAUGCUGCUUCAUAGUCUAUGCAAAAGGAGUCAACAUAGCGUAGCAAGGCUACAGGAACAAGGUUAUUAAAUGGACAACCACACUGUCUAUAUACCUACUUAAAUUUGUAAACACAAAAGCAGUACAAUGGGUUGCUUUGUGCAAAUGUGAUUUCCGCUACAACAUUUUACCCGGCAAUUACGCAUUUGUCUUGUUUUGUAUCAUCUGCCUGACGACUCGGUAAUACUAGCACUCCUAGCAAUAAUUAAACUUCACCAUAUACAGUAUAUUCAGGAACUGUACAGUUUGCUAAUCUUUUUUUGCGUGAAGAGGACCAGGUGUGGGGCUGCAGCCACCAGAGAUCGUGUCUUGAUGAUUCUCCAACAGCUGGGUUUAAUUCUGCUUAAAACAUCGCCAGACAAAAUGCCAACAUGGUUUGUCUAAAGUUACACUUGUCCAAUAUGUUUAAUAGAUGGUCCUGCAUACUUGUGUUGUUGUAAUGAUUAGCAGGGUUAUCUUAAUGUUCUUAGUAACAACAAAUAACACAUGUUGAGCAAUAUCAGCGUGCUGCUAGUUUACACUUUAUUUUCUUCAUCUCUUUGUAAGUUUCAUGGUUUGCAUUUAUGUGUCAUAUCAUCACCAUACUAUUUUGAAAGUUUGUCUGAAGUCAGAUGCACCAUUGAGCAGUACUAAGUGCAUCCUGAAUCGGGGUGAAGAUUUGGUCAUUGCCAUCAGUCUAAAUUAAUUUGCUGACAUGAUGAUGACACCCGGCUACACACUUUGGACAAUAAAGUGCCUGGACCAACAGAACUUCUAGCUUGACAGACCCAGGAUUGGGUUGUCUAUUAGUGUCUGGUAUUCUCCCUUUUGUGUCACAAAUUAAGUGUCACAGAACAUGCCCACAGCUUGCACGCAAGCAAGAGUGGAAAUCCAGACCCUGAUGUGAGGUGUAUCAUUACCUCUACACACCAGCAGCGUCUCACCCCGCAUCUGCUGGCUUGACUCUAAAGUCAAAGUCUCAGCCCUGGUUUGUCCCUGGAUGGGAGCUCCAUAAAAUGCUGAGAAAGUGAUAAUUGGUCCACUUAGAUUUUCGCUUUAUAUAAACAAUAUCUGUGAUGAUUUUAGAAAUUGUAACUUCCAUUUUUAUGCUGAUGAUACUGUGUUGUUUUCUAUUGCUCCCUCAGCUGAUGAAGCAUUUGAGAAGUAGGAGUCUGAUUUUAAGAUUUUGCAGAGAUAUCUUUUACAACUUAAACUUGUUUUAAAUGCUAGGAAAACUAAUGUAAUGUAUUUUUCUAGUUCCAAAUCAUCUGAUGGACACACGUGUAUUUACUAGCAUGGAUGUUAGUAAAAUCGAACAAGUCUCUGAAUAUAAAUACCUAAGACUGUGUUUCAUGGUAUAUUGAAUGCUUUGGAAAUUAUUUUGUACCCUUCUGCUGACUGAUAUCUUUCAACAAUGAGAUCCCUCUGAUGCUUUGGAAGCUCUCUGCGGACCAUGGCUUUUGCUCUGAGAGGCAACUAAGAAAAUGUCAGGAAAAUCCUACUAGAACAGCUGAACUUUAUUUGUGAUUAAUCAGAGUCACUUUAAACGAUGGCAAGUGUGUAAUGACUUCUAUUUAACACGAGUUUGAAUGUGAUUGGUUAAUUCUGAACACAGCCACAUCCCCAGUUAUAAGAGGGUGUACACACUUAUGCAACCAGGUUAUUGUAAGGUUUUCAUUUUUAAGUUAAACACUCUGGUGUCACUUUCCCAAUUUAGAGGUCUUAUGGAAAACCCCUACGAUGCACUGUGUAAUUUUUUGUUGAAUUAUUUUUGUGUUUGUGUAAUUACUGUACAUGUAAUUCUGUCUACACAGGGCACAGCUUAAAAAGAGAUCAAGGUCUUCCUCAUCAGAGAGUUUGAUUCAUAGCUAAAAUGUAUGUCACAUUUUAACAAUCCGAAGUUAUUCGAAAUUACAGAAUGGGCAUAGUGAUUUAUGAGGAGAAUCUUGAAUGUGUCUAAUGAAUGUUGGUUAGGAUGUAGAAUGCUAAUAAUGGUUUCCAUUGACAACCAAGCUGAUUCCCUUCUGAUGCGUCUUAUCCAUGCAGGUGAUGUCAUAAUGGUGUCUGUGUGGACGUGGAAAAUUAUUGAUACGCAUUGAGAAAUUGGUGAGGGGGACUGCUAUUGUUCUCAUAGAGGACCAGUCUGUGAAACAACUUGAAAUUAAAGUUUCUUGACUGCUUGUACCUUCUGUGUGUCACACACUUGAGUGAUGGAUUCACAUCUCUGCGUGCCAGAGAGCUUAACACACAGAGUUCAUAACUGUAACUGUCUUACAGGCCUAGGUAUUUAGAAAUAGGUAUUGGUAUUUAGAAUACUGUGGUACUGCUGCUAAUUCUGUAUCUAGCUAACCCGUACCUCUUCUAGAAUACUGUGACAAUUCAAUUUAUUCUUGUUUUUUGUGAAGCAGAGGUCAGUGCUUAAAAUAAACAUUUCCAAAGUCUUAAUGUUUGUGUUGUGUCAUUUUCCUCUAUUUGACUUACAUUUACUUUUAUUUCUUUAAACAAUAAAUGACUCAUACAGUGGGGCAAAAAAGUAUUUAGUCAGCCACCAAUUGUGC
ensembl:lncRNA